UAACGUUACCAAACUGUUGCCUCGGCGGGAACUCAUGCCCCGGGUGCGUCGCAGCCCCGGACCAAGGCGCCCGCCGGAGGACCAACCAAAACUCUUUUUGUAUACCCCCUCGCGGGUUUUUUAUAAUCUGAGCCUUCUCGGCGCCUCUCGUAGGCGUUUCGAAAAUGAAUCAAAACUUUCAACAACGGAUCUCUUGGUUCUGGCAUCGAUGAAGAACGCAGCGAAAUGCGAUAAGUAAUGUGAAUUGCAGAAUUCAGUGAAUCAUCGAAUCUUUGAACGCACAUUGCGCCCGCCAGUAUUCUGGCGGGCAUGCCUGUCCGAGCGUCAUUUCAACCCUCGAACCCCUCCGGGGGGUCGGCGUUGGGGAUCGGCCUUCCUUCACGGGGGCCGUCUCCGAAAUACAGUGGCGGUCUCGCCGCAGCCUCUCCUGCGCAGUAGUUUGCACACUCGCAUCGGGAGCGCGGCGCGUCCACAGCCGUUAAACACCCAACUUCUGAAAUGUUGACCUCGGAUCAGGUAGGAAUACCCGCUGAACUU
rnacentral:rRNA from 1 species